AGCUAGGCAGUUUGGAGCAUGCUCAUUAUUCUGAAUGCCGUGGGGAGUUUGCAGUGGGGCAGGCCGGUGGUGGUGAAUUCUAGACGGGGAGGAGGUAGGGAGGUUCGUCGUGUUAAAAAAGAAACGACAGGUCCAAAACGGAGACGCUUGUGCUAAGCCUCACAGCAGCAAACCAAGACUAAAUUGCAAUUUCAACCUCCUGCAGGAUGUGACCUUUAACCAGGCCAUCUGGAAUUACCUGGUCAGCACCGGUACGGUGAGCUGCAUGACAGACCCCCGCCUUCCCCCAAAGGGAGGGGCGCUUCAGUGCACAAGCUCUGGAUUCGAGCGCAGCUCCCGCUCGGAUGAGCCAUGCGGCUUCAGUUGCUUCACUAUGGAGUGCAGGUCUUCAGACGUACAAGGAGUUUCCCGCGUCCCUAAGUAUGACUGUCAUACCUGCCAAUAGACGGGCUCCCCUUCCAGCAACAGGACGAGUCAGGGACUCCCUCACCCACCCCCUUGGUCCUCUGCCCAGUGCGCUGGUUGGCUGUUCAGAGAGUAACACCUGGAAGCCGCUGUGCAAUAAUCAGUGUGUCUCCUAACCACACUGUUCGUGUUCUGGGUCGUGGAUACGGGCACCUGGCUGCCUGGAAACACAUGUCCCUGACCCCACAGUGACCACCGUGCAGUAGAGAAGAGGCCACCUCAGGCGCCUCUGUCUGAGUCUGCAGCCAGCCUCUCACGUGGCCAGGAGGCAGCCCAGAGGCCUCGUUCGAAGGUCUCCCCUGGCAUCUCUACUCCCAUCACUGGCCACCAUCAUCUUGAAAUGCCACAGGCCUGAAGACCAGCCAAAGCUUUCUUCUUCCAGGGUGUGUUUUUGCCUCGUGAAACCGAAGGACGCAACAAGGCCAAAGAUAAGAGGCUGCCAGCGUCUGUGUUACUUCAGGCCAGGGGGUCUCACGCUUGGCUCGACUGACGUUAGGGGGUGUGUAGUUCCUGGCUGUGGGCCUGUCCUGUGCACUGUUGGGUGCUGAGCAGCACCCCUGGCCUCCACCCGCAGAUGUCAGUAGCAUCCCCCAGUUGUGACAACUGAAAUGCCUCCAGACAUUUGAAAUGUCCCCUGGGGGACAAAAUCCGCCCUGGUUGAGGACCACCGCCCUAGGCCGUGGAUUUGGCUUCAGUCCUGGAAAUCGGAAAGGGACAGUGUACAUGUGUGCAUUCGGCGCAUGGAGGGACUUCUAAGGGGCCCGUUGGCACGAGUCCUGGUUCUCUCCACCUUCUGCUGCGGGCUCUUCAUCAAGGGACAGGAGAGGCCGAUCAGAUACAUCACUAGGUUGCUGUGGAUGACAGUCCGACCCAAGAAACGAAGAAUCCAGGCUUUCUAAAGCACAAGAGAAGAAAAAGGCUCAGCUCUCCUGUGUUCCUUAAUCCGUAUUUUUAUUGUGGUGCCUCAGCUCCUCAACAAAACAAAUAUUCGGAGAAGAGCAGCGUGAGUUCGAUCAGUCUUGAGCCCGGGCCCUGCUGUAGGCUCUGUGAAAAGAGACAUGAACAAAGGGACAAGCAUCUCUGUCCUCCGGGCCCUGUGCUCUGGCAACGACAAGUAUGGCGUCGUGCAUAAUAUUAUAAAUUCUUGCUCCUGCUGCCGC